rnacentral:lncRNA from 1 species
GCAUGGAGCCUGACCAGACUGCGCGGAUGCGCAGGCUGGUCUGGAUCCAUGCUGGUCGCACACCCACUAAGUUGGUUUUCCCAUGGCACGGCUCAUAUGUUUUGACUGCAGUUUGAGAUAGCAUUGGGCUUUCCUGUUUCAAAAAUUUACACUGUAUUUACAUAUGGAAUGGAUUUUAACCAUUUUACAGAUAGCUUAAGACUAGUUUGUGUCCAUUUUUGAUUUAAGGUAGUUCUGCUUGUCUGAUUCACCUGUAAGUGACGGAGUAACAUCAUUUAUCCUGAAAUUCUAGAAUAACACCUGGUAGCUGUACUAAGAGACAUUGCUACAAGGAGAAGUCUGGUUUCACAAGAAAACUGAUACUGUAACAUGAACGUUGAGGCAAGUCCGUUUAAUACAGUAACAUGCAGUGAAAUCAGUGCUAAUGAUGACAUAAAAAAGCGUAAAAAUACAUGUUUAUAUAUAUAUAUUUGUUGUUCAUUUUGAUAGUUGCAUUUGUCCAGUUUUAAAGUGCAUUUUCAGCCUACAUAAAAAUGGG